UCAAAAUGUCCGUGCUCUACAUUGAACGC
rnacentral:sRNA from 1 species